rnacentral:rRNA from 1 species
AUUGAACGCUGGCGGCAGGCCUAACACAUGCAAGUCGAGCGGAGUAAGGGAGCUUGCUCCUGGAUUCAGCGGCGGACGGGUGAGUAAUGCCUAGGAAUCUGCCUGGUAGUGGGGGAUAACGUCCGGAAACGGGCGCUAAUACCGCAUACGUCCUGAGGGAGAAAGUAGGGGAUCUUCGGACCUCACGCUAUCAGAUGAGCCUAGGUCGGAUUAGCUAGUUGGUGGGGUAAAGGCCUCCCAAGGGAACGAUCCUUAACUGGUUUGAGAGGAUAUUCAGUCACACUGGACCUAGAACACGGUCAAGCCUCCUACGGGAGGCAGAAGUGGGGAAAAUUGGACAAUGGGCGAAAGCCUGAUCCAGCCAUGCGGCGUGUGUGAAGAAGGUCUUCGGAUUGAAAAGCACUUUAAGUUGGGAGGAAGGUAAGUAAGUAAAUACCUUGCUGUUUUGACGUUACCAACAGAAUAAGCACCGGCUAACUCCGUG